UACGUAGGGGGCGAGCGUUGUCCGGAAUCAUUGGGCGUAAAGCGCGUGUAGGCGGUCCGGUAAGUCCGCUGUGAAAGUCGGGGGGCUCAACCCUCGGAUGCCGGUGGAUACUGUCGGGCUUGAGUACGGAAGAGGCGAGUGGAAUUCCUGGUGUAGCGGUGAAAUGCGCAGAUAUCAGGAGGAACACCAAUUGCGAAGGCAGCUCGCUGGGACGUUACUGACGCUGAGGCGCGAAGCGUGGGAGCGAACAGG
rnacentral:rRNA from 1 species